GUGCUCGCUUCAGCAGCACAUAGACUAAAAUUGGAAUGAUACAGGGAAGAUUAGCACAGCCCUUUGCAAGGGUGACAUGCAAAUUCGUGAAGCGUUCCAUAUUUUU
ensembl:snRNA U6 U6 spliceosomal RNA